CAGGUGUUCCGAGACGGAGAACUCUCACCGGAAGAAUGCCUGACCAACUGUACAGAUUUUAACUCAACUAGUGAUAUCCAUUGAAGAUGUUGAAGGACAGUUAUGUGCCUUCGCUCAAGAUGAUAACUGUAGAUUUUUCUUCCGGUUUGCUCUCAACAGCGCUGGACUGCUGGGGGUCUGGGUACAAGAGGAACUCGAGUGUACCAACCCUGUUAGUCUGAAAUUUAUAGGUCUGGGAGUCAUCUUAGUAGUGGUUGUUCUUGGAUUAGUCGCUCUCAUUGUCUGGCGGAUCUUGGCCAGCAUCCACGACAAGAGAGAGUACGCUAGGUUUGUGAUGGACAGGCACGAGGAGAAAUGGGUUGAGAAUGUGAGUCCACUGUACAAGCCAGCUACAACUGUUGUGUCUAAUCCUCUGUUUGGCACCAAGUUUGAUUAGACACCAGCUGACUCCUGCCAUCAUAGUUGACCUUUUAUAAGUUGUUUUAAGGUUUUGUUAAGUAAUAAGUAUCUUGUUAUGUUUAUAUCCCAUUGUUUGUUUGUUGGUAAAUUUGUUUAAUUGUUGGUGACCGUGGGGGGGAGGGGG